CUAGCAGCAACUUUAUAACUCAGGUCAAGAACUGCUGCGCUGUGUUCACACACCUUUCAGGAAGACACAACUCUGUAAUAAUCAAGGGUUUUAUCUCCGAUGUGUCCAUUUGUCAACUGGACCUCCAAAGGCGAGUUCAUUUGAGGUCAGACAGGACAUUUAAGAGGAUGCAGGCAGCUCACCACAGAGGAAACUCGGCUCCAGAGAGGAACUGUACCCCUCCCUCCCACUGCUGAGGAGAACACAAGCCAGCCAGCUAGCAGAAACCUUAAUUCAGGUCAAGCACUGCUCUGCUGUGUUCACACAGCUUCCAGGAAGACACAACUCUGGCCAUAUAAGAGGAGGCAGGCAGCUCACCACAGAGGAAACUCGGCUCCAGAGAGGAACUGUACCCCUCCCUCCCACUGCUGAGGAGAACACAAGCCAGCCAGCUAGCAGAAACCUUAACUCAGGUCAAGCACUGCUCUGCUGUGACACAGACUUGAUAGAGGAUGGAGUAAAUGGAUAAGGCGGAUAUAUUGUAGGUCAUGCUGCUUCCUACUUCCUGUUCUCCCAGGGAAAUCAUGUCUCUGCCUGCUGUGAUGUCUAUAGAGAGGGUCAAAACAACACUGACCUGUUUUUAUUUGGGAUUCCUCUCUUCCAUGUAAAACAACUCAUGUAAAGUCUAUUGUUGGAAGUCAAGUGACCUCGCUCUGUGCUCUGCACAAUCUUGUUUCUUUGAUAUGAUAACGUUAUUUGAUCAGUGUUUUCUUCUAACAUGAAUUGAUUAUUGUUCAAUUUCUUUCAAAUGUAACAUUUACAAUUGCUGUUAUGAACCAUCUUUGUCAUGAUAACACAUAUCCCCACCAACCAAGGUGAUCAUGGUUAUUUUGAAAAUAAAUCCAAAAACCAUUCAAAGAAAAGUACAAAUCCAGCAUCAAAAUUCAGUUGGGCAUAAUAUAUAAUUAGGGUUAGAUUAAAGUAAGGUAGUAACCUGGUGUGAGGUGAUUUUUACAUGUUUAAGUCUGCCCUCUGUUGGUUCAACAAUAUAUUGCUAUAAUGCAAUGUGUACAAUUGACAAGGUGCACCAUUCAAUGAUGAUGACAUAUUCAUAAUGUAGCUGUUUCAAUCUAGAAUAACAAAAUUAACAGUGUCAGUAAACUAGGAAUCAUAUUUAUUUAGAAUUUGACAAAGAUUUACAGAAUCAGUCCUUUGGUGGAAAAAGUGGGACAAUAUAUUAGAUGCAAUUUGAAUAGCAACAGAAAUGUAUAUUAUCUAUACAAAACCCAAUUUCAACAGUGAAUGUAUCACAUAUCCCAUAGAAAUCCAUGGAAAUGUAGACAAUCUAGACAAUGUUGCAGAUGUAAAGCCCUUUGCUGAAUAACAAGUAACUUAAUUUUGACCAUACAGCUCAAACAACUUCACAUCUGGAGAUCUGGAGAAGGUGAAGAUGUGUGGUGUGAAUUGGAGAGCUUCAGAUGUUGUGUGUGUGUAACAGAUGGUGGCAGUCUUACGGUAGACUAACAGAGCAGGCGGAGUGAGCACAGAUCUCACAAGGAUCUGGAGGCGUGAUGGCAUCCGCUGGAGAGAGACAGCAAACACAUAAGGUUUCGGUGCCGUUUGAGAAGUGUAACUUGGUAAAAAAGAAAGAAAAAUAAUGUCACUUAAUUUUAACAUUCUGUCUUAAAGAGCACAUGUUCAACAUCAUCUCAUAAGGUUAAAUAAAAUGACUGUAGUAAGUGCCUAUUAAGUGACAAAUAAAGUAACAGGGUUGACCGUAACAGGGUUGACCGUAACAGGGUUGAUGAUUUCAUCUUAAAUCAGCCAUAAAUUCCCUUGUGACAGGGGGAAUGGAAGCUUGUUUUGUGCAACAUGGGAGGCAAUUGAAUGCAAGCUUCACAAAAACAUUUUAAUUGCUAAAA
ensembl:lncRNA